UACGUAGGGAGCAAGCGUUGUCCGGAAUCAUUGGGCGUAAAGCGCGCGUAGGUGGCCCUGUAAGUCCGUUGUGAAAGUCAAAGGCUCAACCUUUGAAAGCCGAUGGAUACUGCAGGGCUAGAGUACGGAAGAGGCGAGUGGAAUUCCUGGUGUAGCGGUGGAAUGCGCAGAUAUCAGGAGGAACACCAAUUGCGAAGGCAGCUCGCUGGGACGUUACUGACGCUGAGACGCGAAAGCGUGGGGAGCAAACAGG
rnacentral:rRNA from 1 species